UCCUCUCGGAGCGUCCUCCUCCGACCGCAGGCGCGGAGGUCCUGUUAGGGCUGCUGCCCAUUACGACCCACAGGUGAUCGGAAAGCCGGGAGCUGCCGUCUCGGUCCAGGCCCGGUGACUGCGGCCGCGGGGCGACCCACCCCCGCCGGCUCACCGGGAGGAGGAGCGGGGACCGGGCCCUGAGAGGCGGCCGCACGAGAUUAAAAAGUGCUCGGUCGUACUCUUUCCGUCCAGCCAACGACUGGGAAGACAAACUGUCGCAGGGACCCUCGCCCCCCCGUCUCUCCUGCCCACCACUUCCCACUGGUUUCCUGCCACGCAGCCCAAGGCAGCAGCUCCCCGUGUCCCGCAAAGAGCAGGCGGGAGUGGAGACACGGGUGGGCCCGCGAGCACCGGCCCUUCGGAAAGGCUCGGACUGAGGAGACGGGGAGCAGGACACAGUAGAGGCUCACACCUGCCACCCGCAUUUCAUAGGCACUUCCUGCGGAUACACAACCAUGAACGAGACACACAGGAUCUGUUUCUUCCUGGGGCGCAUCCUCCAGCAUGAAAGACGCGUGUCACUCAAAUAACUCCAGAAAGAGUCUGGCCAGGUCACAGGGCAGCAGGACAACAGCACAGGAAACUAUGGCCUCUUUUCAAUUAUGCCCACGUGGCUAAACUCAAACACAUUCGCCACGCCCUCCAGGUGGUGCCAGGUGAGGACGGGCAUAAGGUUGAGGGCAGGCCUGCGGCAGGCCAGGACUCCAGGAGGCUCUCAGGCUGAGUGUGUGCAGGUUCCGGGGGCAGCUCUCCGUGACUCUAUCCUCUGAGGUCAGCCCAGCGGCAUUACCGUGAGCCUCUGGACCCCAGGACCAAGCACGCAGACUUGGAAUGCCCUUGCUCGUUAGCGGGCUGAAGCCUAAGUUAGGCCGCCCGUUCACAUUGACCUUAAGCUUGCAUGCUUAUCAACUUCUGCUUUCCUCUAGGUAACCUGUCUUUUAUUAUAGGGGUCUCAGCUAAGAACUUAGAGGAGCAGAGAGAAAAUUACUUUCCUCCUCCUACAGGAGAAUCACAAUGCUAUCUCAAAAACUGACCUCUAGCAGCAAAUGAAGGACUAAAACAUGGGACGGAAAAGCGCUUUCAAGAGAAGGUUGUUAAUGAAAGUCCGAAGCCAGGUCACACCACAACACAGGAGCGCCCUUCCUCCGGGAGCACGGCGAGCGUUUGACUGUGAUUCAUUAAAUUCUAUGCUUUAAUAAUUA